rnacentral:rRNA from 1 species
AUUGAACGCUGGCGGCAGGCCUAACACAUGCAAGUCGAACGAGUGGCGGACGGGUGAGUAAUGUCUGGGAAACUGCCUGAUGGAGGGGGAUAACUACUGGAAACGGUAGCUAAUACAGAAUACCAUCAGAUGUGCCCAGAUGGGAUUAGCUAGUUGGUGGGGUAACGGCUCACCAAGGCUACGAUCCCUAGCUGGUCUGAGAGGAUGACCAGCCACACUGGAACUGAUACUCGGUCCAGACUCAUACGGGAGGCAGCAGUGGGGAAUAUUGCACAAUGGGCGCAAGCCUGAUGCAGCCAUGCCGCGUGUAUGAAGAAGGCCUUCGGGUUGUAAAGUACUUUCAGCGUGGAGGCGUUCCCCGCGUCCGAAGCACCGGCUAAUUCCGUGCCAGCAGCCGCGGUAAUUC